rnacentral:lncRNA from 1 species
CCUUCUGCUUCCCUUUGUCAACUGGAGUUACAUAAGGUUUCCCUCUAAAUUGUCCCUUCCAUUUCUUCUCACUAAUACUCUUAUAGUAAGCAGACCGAGUUCUAUUAUCCUCAUCAUAGAUUCUACUUUUAUUCACCAAUUCAGCAUACCUACGAAUUUGUUGGUAUCCAAUACCUUGUUUGAUCUCUGGUCUCAGCCCAUUCUCAACUUGAGACAUUUUGAAGUCUCAGUAUCAGCACGGUUGUAAUGGGGAUAAAACUUCACUAGCGCCUCAAACUUCGCAGCAUACUCUGCCACAAUCAUGUUCCGUUGCUUUAGCUCAAGGAACUCUAUCUCCUUUUUGCCACGAACGUCCUCGGGGAAAUACUUCUCCAAGAUUUAUUUUUUGAACACAACCCAAGUUAUCUCUGUACCACUAGCUUCCAAUACCUGACGUGUGUUAUCCCACCAAUCCUC